AGCUCGUAGCGGGUUCUGACGUGCAAUUCGAUCGUCAAAUUUUGGGUAUAGGGGCGAAAGACUAAUCGAACCAUCUAGUAGCUGGUUCCCUCCGAAGUUUUCCCUCAGGAUAGCUGGAGCCCGGACUAUGUGUGUAGUUUUAUCAGGUAAAGCGAAUGAUUAGAGGUAUUGGGGUUGAAAUGACCUCAACCUAUUCUCAAACUUUAAAUGGGUAAGAGGCACAGCUUACUUAAGUGAAGUUGUGUGUGAGUUUAUGGUGUGAAUACAGGGGCUCUUAGUGGGCCAUUUUUGGUAAGCAGAACUGGCGAUGCGGGAUGAACCGAACGCUGGGUUAAGGUGCCCAAGUCAACGCUCAUGAGAUCCCAUGAAAGGUGUUGGUUGAUACAGACAGCAGGACGGUGGCCAUGGAAGUCGGAAUCCGCUAAGGAGUGUGUAACAACUCACCUGCCGAAUCAACUAGCCCUGAAAAUGGAUGGCGCUCAAGCGUUGCACCUAUCCCCGGCCGCCGUGUGGAGUAGGCCAGUGUUGGUGACACGGCGUGUAGGAGGGCGCGGGGCUGUGUGUGUGUAUGCUGUGCAGGCUGGUGCGUGAGCCCAGCUGAAGCCGGCCCUGGUGCAGAUCUUGGUGGUAGUAGCAAUUAUUCAAAUGAGAACUUUGAAGGCCGAAGUGGAGAAGGGUUCCACGUGAACAGCAUUUGGACGUGGGUGAGUCGGUCCUAAGAGAUGGGCGAAAGCCUGGUUAGCAAGGGUGCAGAUGUGCUGUCUCCUCACACGAGGCAAGCAUGUCCGGAUUGGUUCUUUGGGGCCACGGUGGCACCAGUUCUCGAAAGGGCAUCGGGUUAAUAUUCCCGAACCAGACACCUGGAUGCUGCUUGCAGUGGAGCACGGCAACGUAUAUGUAUGUGUAUACUCGGCGACGCUUACGAUAGCCCUGGGAAGAGUUGUCUUUUCUUCUUAACCGUACCAACCGUGUGCACAGCCCUGGAAGCAGUUUACCUUGAGAGAGGGCUGGAGGUCGGGUAAAGCGCUGCACUUAUUGCAGCGUCCAGUGCGCUGUCGAGAGCCCUUGAAAAGCUGAGUCAGGACUGGAUCAUGUUAGUCUCGUGUCUGGCCGUAC
rnacentral:rRNA from 1 species